CCGUAGACUGCAAAGUAAGUUUUUUGUUAAAUAUUAAGACCCCNAUCUUAGUUCUGCAAUUAAUACUGCUUUUGCUUUGAGUUUAAUACAGAAAAGUAGAAUUUUAUACGACAGGGGGUGAAAUCCGUAGAUAUAUAAAGGAAUGCCAACAGCGAAGGCAACUUUUUGGUAUAAACUGACGUUGAGGGACGAAAGCGUGGGGUAGCAAACCAGGAUUAGAGACCCUGGUAGUCCACGCUGUAAAUUCUGAGUGCUGUAAUUUAAUUGUAAUAUUUUUUUAUUACUUAGAUUUUCAAGCUAACGCAAUAAGCACUCCGCCUGAGGAGUACGAUCGCAAGAUUGGAACUCAAAGGAAUUGACGGGGGUCUAACACUAGUGGUGGAGCAUGUGGUUUAAUGCGAUAAUCCGCGCAAAACCUUACCAAUUCUUGACAUAUUAGAGUAAUUAUGUAAAUUAAUAUGGUUUUUUUACAUAAUACUUUCUUACAGGUGUUGCACGACUGUCGUCAGCUCGUGUCGUGAGACGUCUGGUUAGGUCCUGAAACGGGCGCAACUCUUACUUUUUACAAAGUUUUGACGAACUAAAGAUUUUCAUUUAGUGAAAAUUUUUUAAACGCUUUAAAAGUACGGUCAACGAUAAGUUGAGGGAAGGUAAGAAUGAAGUCAAGUCAAUGUGACCCUAAUGAAUUGGGCUACACAUGUGCUACAAUGAAAAUUACAAAAAGUGACGAAAAAGAAAUUUUGAGUUAAUCCGCAAAAAUUUUCCCAGUUCGGAUUGUAAACUGCAACUCGUUUACAUGAAGUUGGAAUCACUAGUAAUCGCAAAUCAGAACGUUGCGGUGAACAUGUAACUUGGCCUUGUACACAUCGCCCGUCACUUGCAAAGAAUCAGUUUCGCUUGAAGAUUUUAACAAAAUCCAUUGAGAGAUUGAUAAUUUGGAUGAAGUCGUAAACAAGGUAA
rnacentral:rRNA from 1 species